rnacentral:lncRNA from 1 species
UUGCACUUUUGCAUGGGGGUGGAGGGAUGGAUCAGCCUUUUUUCAGAUGGGAAAACAUCCCUGCAGCUCAGGGAGGCUAGAAGCAGGAUGCCAUCUAUUCACAGGGCUAUGGUCAGUGUGGCUGGAGAUGGUCGAUUUCAAAGAGAGGCCUGCUCUAAUUGUGAAAGGCAAACCCAGCCAGGGGCCGCUUCUCCCUGAGAGGGUGCAGACUGCGAUCUGGAUCUGCCUGGAACGACUAAUGGAACAGCAAUUUAGCCUUCCAAAUUAA